rnacentral:lncRNA from 1 species
UUCUUUUUAAUUUUUAAUUGUUGAGUGAUGAUAAAGACUAGUGAUGACUUGGUUGUAGAUGUGGAUGUUUCUAUUCGAGGUUUGGUGCUGGUUUUUGCAGGAGGAACUCAGGAAAAAUUGUGAAAAAAGAAGUUGGGGAAGUUCUCCCUCUCUUUCCUCAAAAUUUCCCCUUUUAUAGUAGCAGACAGAUUUGGAGGGUGCACGCUGUGCACUUUCCUAUAUUGUCCGUUCCGCGUACCACAAACCAGAAAACGGCGUGUAGGGGUGCACGUCGUGC